ACUAACAGGGGGUUUGAAACUUGGUGAGGGGGGGAAAACUAUGUACAUUAUGUCUCUUUGCAAGACAAGGUGUGGGAUUGCCACACCAUAGGGGUUGGAGUUGGUUGUUUUCUCCAUCUACGUGGUCUAUGGGCUGUGUUUAGAGGUCACUGCAUGAUGAGCUAUAUGCGGUUUGGUCGUUUGUAGCAGGGUAGUACACUUGUGGAGUUAGGUCGCUACCCACCUGUGCGUUUCACUGUAAGCCCCGUGGGACAUCCCCGUUCGGGGCAGAGGGCGGUCGCUUCGGGUUUGUCGUCCCCCGGUCCUAUGAGGGCGCUUCUACUUUUUGGGCAUGCUUAUUGUCAGUUUGGGGAUCACAGAAGUCGUCUCCCUAUUGCAGGCCACUGUGUAUGUAGCUGGGUC